rnacentral:rRNA from 1 species
UACGUAGGGUGCGAGCGUUGUCCGGAAUUACUGGGCGUAAAGGGCGCGUAGGCGGCCUGCUAAGUCGAACGUGAAAUCCCCGGGCUCAACCCGGGAACUGCGUCCGAUACUGGCAGGCUUGAAUCCGGGAGAGGGAUGCGGAAUUCCAGGUGUAGCGGUGAAAUGCGUAGAUAUCUGGAGGAACACCGGUGGCGAAGGCGCUCUGCUGGACCAUAACUGACACUCAGGGACGAAAGCUAGGGGAGCGAAUGGG